GAUGAACGCUGGCGGCGUGCCUAAUACAUGCAAGUCGAGCGAACAGACGAGGCGCUUGCUCCUCUGACGUUAGCGGCGGACGGGUGAGUAACACGUGGAUCACCUCCCUAUAAGACUGGUAUAACUUCGAGAAACCGGAGCUAAUACCGGAUAAUAUCUUGCACCGCAUUGUUCAAUAGUGAAAGACGGUUUUGCUGUCACUUAUAGAUGGAUCCGGGCCGCAUUAGCUAGUUGGUAAGGUAACGGCCUACCAAGGCAACUAGGCGUUGCCGAAGUGAGAGGGGGAUCGGCCACACUAGAAGUGGGACAGGGUCAAGAGGACUAAGAGACGCAGCAGUAGGGAACGUUAGGCAACGGGCGAAAGUCUGACGGAGCAACCGCGCGUGAGUGACGAAGGCGUUGGGUGCGGAAAACCGUGUUAUUAGUGAAAAACCAAUUUGGAAGGAAAUAUGGAGGGAGUGACGGUACCUAAUCAGAAAGCCACGGCUAACUACGUG
rnacentral:rRNA from 1 species